CUACGGGAGGCUGCAGUGGGGAAUAUUGCACAAUGGGCGCAAGCCUGAUGCAGCCAUGCCGCGUGUAUGAAGAAGGCCUUCGGGUUGUAAAGUACUUUCAGCGAGGAGGAAGGGAGUAAAGUUAAUACCUUUGCUCAUUGACGUUACCCGCAGAAGAAGCACCGGCUAACUCCGUGCCAGCAGCCGCGGUAAUACGGAGGGUGCAAGCGUUAAUCGGAAUUACUGGGCGUAAAGCGCACGCAGGCGGUUUGUUACGUCAGAUGUGAAAUCCCCGGGCUCAACCUGGGAACUGCAUCUGAUACUGGCAAGCUUGAGUCUCGUAGAGGGGGGUAGAAUUCCAGGUGUAGCGGUGAAAUGCGUAGAGAUCUGGAGGAAUACCGGUGGCGAAGGCGGCCCCCUGGACGAAGACUGACGCUCAGGUGCGAAAGCGUGGGGAGCAAACAGGAUUAGAUACCCUCGUAGUC
rnacentral:rRNA from 1 species